AAAGGCUUCUAAAGUUGUUUUGGUUUUUUUUCCUCCUUAGAUUGGAAAAGAGGGAAAUUACCAUAAAGGAACUGUCUUUAUCCUCUAGCUUAGUCACAUUUCUUAAUACAAUGAUUAUAUUGAAUUAUUCACAGAACAGCUGAGUAGGUUUUUUUCAGUAAGCUGCCACAACCCUAUAUUUUCUGCUGGCUAUUUCAGCACAUUCCCACUGAAUGCAGGAAUACAGGCUCCAGGGACCAAUCUCACCAUCUGACAGAGCUGGAAGACAAAGACAAAAGAGACCCAAGAGGACAGUUCUAAAAAAGUACGGAGAAAACUUGCUUGUUGUUAGAAACCAUCUCUUUCUAUAUGAAAUUGUCUACAAUUCUACUGGCUAAUCCACCUAUAGAUUCUGCAACUCAUUUUCACGGAUACACGGAGAAAGAACAGGUUUAAGAUUGUACAAUGGAUUUAUAGUCUGCAGAGACAACAUGCAAAUCUGUGAAACCAAGCAAGAAUAUUUCUCCCUCCACCUCAAUAAACUGAAUGAACAGAUGUAUCCAAAGCGUAGCUGAGCCCAGAAACAUGAUCCAUGCAUGACCACCCUCUCCCUGUUGCUGCAGGAUAAGGACAAGUGCAGUUUAUUAAUGGAGAGUUAAAUCAAUUAGCAAUUAAUCUAGCAAUGAAGAGGCAGGCUGCCGAAUUAAUGGAGGAAACAAGAGCAGCUGUAAUUACGCAUCAUUUCUUUCCACACAUGUUUAAAGAGGAAGAACUUUUUUUGUCAGAGAGAGCAUGUUGAAUCUCUGCACAGUGCACACUAGUCAGUGACUUCUCUAGUUUCAGCUUUCUCAGUUAUCUGUUGGAAGUUCCUCGUCCAACUUCAGCUGCUAGAGAGAUCCUCACCUUGACAUCUUCCCAGACAUGGUGAAAUUAUAGAUCAUCACUUGGGCCGGAUCCUGUGAUGUGCUGGGCAUCUUAAACUUGUGCAAUGAAAGUCUAUCCUAUUGAAAUCUAUGAAUACUAUCCUGCAGAAAUACAAGCAGCAUGGACUGGAAGACCAAAGAGGACAGCAAUAAAAGCACCCCUCCUUGUACCACGCUCCUCAGUGUAACACCAACACCUGCUAAUGUGUCUACCAGGGUACCAUCCAAUCGAAAGACAGCAGGCUGUUAUACAGCCCCUAGAACAG